ACAUAUAACAAACACAUCUAUUUAAAUGUUGUAGGUACAACUAUUUUAUAGGCCUGUUUGACUGUAAACUUAAUCUAUCGAUUGUAUUAUUAUCAAUAACUAACAAUAUUAAAUAAACUCAUGUUUUCUAUCUUCCUCAUGGAACCCCAAAGACUGUGAUCUCAUUUAAGACAAAUAGCUCUACAACAGCUGCAUGGAACACUUGGCAAUAAGCAAUCAAAACAUUCAGUAAAUAUAUUACUAAACAUAAACCUUUAUUGAAAUGCAUAAAAUGUUUAUCAAAAUAAAAUAAAACUCUUAGGCAACAGCAUUAACAUGUCUAAUGUUAUUGUAAUUAUUUACUUUAAUAAAAAAAACUAAAUAGUAUAUAAAAAAUUUUUUGUCACACAUAUCACCUUCCGACUUUAUAUAUAUAUAUAUAUAUAUUUUUUUUUUAAAUAUAUUUUAUUGGAUAUUUAGGCCUAGGUCUAUAAGUUAUGUGAUGGGGUGGCAGGUAGCCUAGUAGUUAGAGCGUUGGACUAGAAACUGAAAGGUGUCCCCGAGCUGACGAGCUGACAAGUUAUCUUUAGGUCCCGUAUAUCAGAUGGACAUCCACGCGUCUCGUGGCGCACACAGGCCUCCCAGUCCACCCGCACUUAUAGAUCAGGAAGAGCUUGUAGCUAAGGGAAACGGGAUGCUUCCGGCUCGGAGGGGGGAAACCCACCGCUGGACUGGUCUGCUGCCUCGUCACAAGGGACCCGGCUCAGAGGGGAAACCCAACGCUGGACCGGCCGCGUCUGCUGCCUCGUCACAAGGGACCCUCUGCACUCUUUCAUGCCGCUCGUGAUUCUUUGCUUUCUUUCUCCCUCUAUCCACACAGUGAUCGGUAUCGGCCCCUCUUUCAGGGCUGGGCCCUCUGGGGGUGGGGGGUGGUGGUGGGUUGGGCUUCAGCUUUACUAAAGACUCUGUGUUUCCUUCUGCCGUCAGAUGAACAGGGGAACUGUUAGUUUUGAAUCUGUGUGAAUGUUACCCAUGACUCUUCAAAAAUGAUAUAGGUGAUACUGUUGGAUGAAAUGAUUUGUACGUUCUGUCGUGAUCUAACCGUCCUCUAUUACAUCACGGAAACACAUUUCUUUCAAUAAAGACUCAAUGAAUCUAUUUCAUUUUGUCUCAUUAGCCUAUAGGUGUGUAUAACUAGUCAAAUACAUUAUAAUAUAAUGUAUCACAUGUUCAUUGAGUGUUCUGUGGUACGCUAUUUUCUGUACUGUAGGGAACCGUGUUCCAUUUUGGAGUGCAGCCUGAGUGUUGUGCUAGCCGCUAGCCAGGUUGGGGUGAGAGGUUUUGGGCUAACACUCCCUAGCCAUGCUAACCCUUACCCCAGUAGAAACAGCACAAGCCCUCCACCGUCUGCACAUCCACCCCCAGCAAAAAGACAAAAACAGAAACAGGGCUUUGAAGAGAAGCAUAACACUCAGACCCACACUCACAUGAGUCCAUCCUCCCCCAUCUCCCCCAUCUCUCCCUCCCAUACCUCCAUCUCCCCCAUCUCUCUCUCCCUCCCAUACCUCCAUCUCCCCCAUCUCUCCCUCUCAUACCUCCAUGUUGCCCAUCUCUCUCUCCCUCCCGUACCUCCAUCUCCCCCAUCUCUCUCCCUCCCGUACCUCUAUCUUCCCCAUCCCCUCAUCCACAACACUCCGGCAAAACUAUUACUUGACGGUAAUAGUGCUCACUGUUGCCUCUAGCGGCUGGUUUUGAAGGCAUUUCCCGACGUCUUCAGGACAGCGAUAGACGUCUAAUUUCAACGCCAAUCUUGAACGACCCGGUUGGUAUGUUCAGAUGAAGACCCGGAUUCAAUGUAAUGUGACAGAGCUACACUCUAAAACAUCCCCCAACAUGCCUUCUAAAGGCCUUUCCCCGCAACGGAAAAAACAACAUUUAGGCUGAAGUGUCAAAUUCAAAUGAAAUUAAAUUAAAUUUAAAAAAGCUGUUAUAGUGGUUUUCAGUCUUGGUCAAAGAGUUUGAUCAAUCUAUGAAUGAAGACAAAAAACAACGAAAACAAAAAACACGUUGUUUGAUCUGGUAUUGGUCGAGAGUCUGUUAUCAUUCUUUUUAAAAAAUGUAAUAAAUGAAAUCAAUCAACAAAUCAAAACAUUGUUCAACUUUUCUCCGACAUAUUAACC
ensembl:lncRNA